CUCGGAGUUUGAUCCUGGCUCAGAUUGAACGCUGGCGGCGUGCUUUACACAUGCAAGUCGAGGGGUAUAGUUCUUCGGAACUAGAGACCGGCGCACGGGUGCGUAACGCGUAUGCAAUCUACCUUUUACAGAGGGAUAGCCCAGAGAAAUUUGGAUUAAUACCUCAUAGUAUGUGAGAAUCGCAUGGUUUUCACAUUAAAGUUCCAACGGUAAAAGAUGAGCAUGCGUCCCAUUAGCUAGAUGGUAAGUAACGGCUUACCAUGGCGACGAUGGGUAGGGGUCCUGAGAGGGAGAUCCCCCACACUGGUACUGAGACACGGCCCAGACUCCGUACGGGAGGCAGCGAGUGGGGAAUAUUGGACAAUGGGCGAAAGCCUGAUCCAGCAAUGCCGCGUGAGUGAU
rnacentral:rRNA from 1 species